UGGGGAAUAUUGCACAAUGGGGGAAACCCUGAUGCAGCGACGCCGCGUGAGCGAGGAAGUAUUUCGGUAUGUAAAGCUCUAUCAGCAGGGAAGAAAAUGACGGUACCUGACUAAGAAGCCCCGGCUAACUACGUGCC
rnacentral:rRNA from 1 species